GACGAACGCUGGCGGCGUGCUUAACACAUGCAAGUCGAACGGAAAGGCCCUGCUUUUGUGGGGUGCUCGAGUGGCGAACGGGUGAGUAACACGUGAGUAACCUGCCCUUGACUUUAGGAUAACUUCAGGAAACUGGGGCUAAUACCGGAUAGGAGCUCCUGCUGCAUGGUGGGGGUUGGAAAGUUUCGGCGGUUGGGGAUGGACUCGCGGCUUAUCAGCUUGUUGGUGGGGUAGUGGCUUACCAAGGCUUUGACGGGUAGCCGGCCUGAGAGGGUGACCGGCCACAUUGGGACUGAGAUACGGCCCAGACUCCUACGGGAGGCAGCAGUGGGGAAUAUUGCACAAUGGGCGGAAGCCUGAUGCAGCAACGCCGCGUGCGGGAUGACGGCCUUCGGGCUGUAAACCGCUUUCGCCUGUGACGAAGCGUGAGUGACGGUAAUGGGUAAAGAAGCACCGGCUAACUACGUG
rnacentral:rRNA from 1 species